rnacentral:lncRNA from 1 species
AUCGGGCUGAACACGGUGCGCUUCACCUCGGAGUUCCCACUCCACUCCAAGGAUCCAACAGCGCACAAGCUGCUCUUCACGGGCAACUACCUCUGCAAGCUUCACCCCCGGCCCCGCCACGCCCCGCAGGGUUCCCUGUCUGGUCUGGAUCACCUCGCUCUCCCUGCGCCUCUCUCCUUGGCCUAGCUAGACAAGUGCUUCUCACGAUCCAGCGCGUUUACCGCUCGGUUUCGUCGCCGCUAAGGGGUGGUGGUGUCUGAUCCGUCAGGCUCUGCGCUUCUCUCUCGGAUCCAUCCUCAAUGUCCAGGCAGGACUCUCACAUGAAGCCGGUGCUGUCUGCUGUUCACUCUAAGAUGUCCAGCCACUCAGGACAGUUACGAUCUGUCAUCCAGGGCCCAAACCGACUCUCCUCUAUUGCUAUCUGAGGUAGGCAGUCUCCUCUGUGAGGUCGGUCCCAUCCAUACUGCCUAGAUCCCUGCGCAGGAAGACUGAGAUGAGGACCCUAGGAGACAGCAGCCAGGGAUAGCGAAGGUGGAGGAUGAGUAUAAAUAGCGACCCCAGCGCGAUCAGAGAAGCUCCCUUACCCCCACCCAUCGCAGUGGGAGUGAGUCUUCAGAUCUACCCCCAAGACAACGAAAUCCUACCCGGGCCAUUGAAGGGAAACCUCCACUCCAACCCCCAGAAGACGCCUUAGAUGAGAAAGUGAAGAGAUAUUGUAUGAGCUCAUUCAUCAAAGGCCAUGCCAUCACCAGCUCAGGCAGUGCUGCUAGGGGAUUCCUGCCUCUCUGGAGGUCCAGUUCUCUCUGAAGACAGAGAAGAUGCAGGGAGGAAGGGUUUCAAACAGGAACUCUCAACCCACGUCUGCCAGUUGUAGACUCUGUAAACAAAGUUCCAACUCGCCCGCUGCUGCCACUGCCGCUGCUAUUUUUUGAGGUCAAGACUCUUCCACCUGUAUGCCCAUCUUCAUAGACCGGCCCAUCACUGGUGCCUCAAGCAUUUUCACUAUCACAGCCAGUAAUCUGCAGACUCAACCUCAAGCCUACUUUGUACUUUGGUAUAAACUGCAUGGAUACCAAUCCCUUUUCACAGGUUUUCAUCUCCUGGUCUCCCAUAGGAUCCAGGAUGAGUAUCCUCCCAUUUGACCAGUUCCAUCCCAGUAUGGAGCAGAUAUCCCUUGUAAAGAACACAGUCUCCACCAGCCCACCUGCUUUUAUGGUCAACAGCCCUACCUGAAUUUCCAACAUUGCCUUUUGACCCAAGAAACACCUAUCACCUGAAAUCUAGGGUUCCAGACAGGCAUCAACAGGAAACCACUCUCUUCAAUGCCCUGUCUUUUCUGGCCCACCUACCACUGCUUCUGCAGUCACCUCCACUAUAGUAAGCAGACCCUCUUCAGACUUGGCAUCCAAGCCUGCCUUUUACUCUGAUGAAAUCAACAUGGAUACCAUGCCCAUUUCCCCAUCUGUUAUCUUCCUGUCUCUCCCUGCAAUGUUAACAGCUGUUUCCCUUUGAAGAACCUGGCAGCCCCCAGAAAUCCUUCCUACUUAACCUCUACUGCAGCCCUGGAACCCAAUGACAGCACCACUCAGGCAGCUUUUGGGAAUUUGACUCCCCCAUGUCCACCUUUGGCAUCUGCUAUGGUUUGAAUGUGUCAACCAAAUUUCGUGUAUUAAAAACUCAAUCCCCAAA